CGAAGGAUUUUAGCCUCCCCAGUCCCAUCCCAAAAUGUCUUGGUUCAUGCAGUGAUCUGAUCCCAUGCAAAUUAAAUCCAUGUUCAUAAGCGCUGCUUAACUUGCAUGUGGCGUAAUCAGAUGCAAGAACUGAAUGAGCUGUAUGAAUAUCAACUUUAUGAAAAGAGAAAAUAGAUGCAAUGAGUCAAUAUCCCCCCAAAAACCCAACCUAAAGCAAAUCCCUAGAGCUGCCAUCCAACCCGGCAUCCCAUAUGACUGGUCCUUGCUCUAGGUGAAGGGAAAUCAAAGAACUGAUCCAGCAUAGCGUGAACCACAAACCCAGAGAUGAGAGUGGCUCCAGGGCUGGCUAUGUGAGAAGAGGCAGGGAAAUAUUAGAAUGUAAAGAGUUAAGCUAUGGUAAAACAUACUUUUGCUACACUAAAGAAGACUGGUUGAUAAUUACUGUAGUUUUAGGGCUAUUUGAAUCAGUGCAGCUGCAACCUCUUCAGUAGUAACCCCUGAAACAAGACAAACUGGGUUUAUUGUACUGAACAAGUCUUAAAGCUCCUCCCUGAUUGUUAGUAAUUGGCAGCAAUGGACUUAACAGCCUCUUGACUACCCUUUUUACACUCUACCUGACUGUGCAGCUAACAAUUUAAAUCACAGAUGCCGAUCCUUCUUUGUGGCAGCUGCUUGUUAACUACAUGUUCCUCUUUUUCUGUCACUGGCUGCUUCCAUAACCCUGCAACACCAGGGUUAGAUUGGAGAAUCACAUUUCAUCAAUAUUUAAAAUGGAAUUAAACCUUGAAGUUUGAUUAAUGCUACCAGAUAGCGAGUUGUAAUUACUAUUUUGCAAAUUGCAAUUGUUUGAAUAUGUUAAUAUGAUUGUCUGAGCACAUCUUCACCUUCACAAGUAAUUUUCCCUUUAAAAAAGAUUUGGGGGAAAAAAAUAAAGAAUACAAACUCUUUAAUCAGUGGUAAAUUAUCCCCCUGUGCACAAUUAGGUGCUAUGGGGUUCUUCACGUUGUGUGCUGAAUUCUGUGUCAGUGUAUUUAUCUUUCAAAGUUUACCCAUUUAUAUAGAUUUUCCUCAGUAGAAUAAACACCCAUGGAACAGACUUUGCUGAAACAGGACUAAACCAUGGUGGUAUUUGAAGGUAAAGAAGAGAAAGUUUUAUCUGAGAACGUUAUUGCAAUCUGGUGUAUCCCUGUUCAGUAAAUGUUAUUUCUUCCCAAGUUAGUGAAAUAUGAAUUAUUAUAAUCACAUAUCAUUGAAAUCUUGAAGCAGAGAUAGUGAGCGAUCUGCACAGAUGAGCUGUUAGAAUAUAUGUGAGUAUUGACUGAUUCUUCUGAACUGUUUUCUUGUGUCUCAACCUAAACCAAAUCAGUUUUCUAGCACCCACAAAAUACACUUUGAAUACUGUGGGCCAGAUCCUCAGCCAGCCCAGGCUGGGGCAGCUUCUCUUUUGCACUUGAUUCAGGCUAUUUUCAUUGAGCAAGCGAAGACAUAUGGAGCCAACCCUGGUAGCACCUGCAUGACUGAUCCCCAGUCAUCAGUCCACAGAAGGUGAUAGCCAGGGGUGCAAGUCCUGCUGACCUACUGCUGAGCACUGUCUAUGCAGGUCAGUGUGGCUGGAGUCUCUUCAGGCAAGUAAGACCCAACUAAAUCUGUUGGUCACACUGUGUCCCUGCAAGUAGCCCGUUUCAAGAUCUUCUUACCAAAUAAUUGCUUUGCAAGUUCCUUCCUUGUUUUGGUUGGCUUUCGGGGAAACUCCAAAUGCCAGCCAAGUCCAAACAGGUGUCUGUCAAACAUGCUGCAAUGUGUAUUCCAUAGUGAGCCCAAACUGCAGCCCACUUACAUCAGCGGGUUUCUGCUCAGCGUCUCAACAAAAUGAAACUACUUGUCUGGUUUUCAAUGUUCAGUCUAAAAGUAGUGGCAGAAGAGACUUCCAAAACUGCACAGUCCAGAUUUAUCUCUCAGAUGGGAUUAGAAACAGCUGAAAAUCCAGGGUGGGCUUGCUUCAGGAUGCUUCCAAGGGAUGGCUUGAAAACACACUGUAAUUUAGGUGCAUUUAAUCUUCCUAUAUUGAAUGCAUAUUGCAAAGUUCAGAAUUACUUGCUUCUAGCUAUUGCAUUUCUGUGUUGCUUAUGGAAACCUCAGCUGUGAGAGACCCCUUAGGACUGCAUGUUUAGGUGUCUGCCAUGAUGCAGAGCAGAGACUAUCAGCAAGCAGCAGUAUUGUCAUAUAGGCUUCUGGAUUUGCCCUCUUAACUAGUACUUUCCCAGGAAACCACCUUGAGGUGCAUAGGAAGAUGUGCUGCACUGAAAUUGGAAUACUUAGUGGCUUGCACAGAGAAAAAGCCUACAUUGUUCACCUUAAAAUCCUUGUCUGACUCUGUGUUGGUUCUUUGUACUCACUUUGUAGCUGUAUGUGUUCCUAGUGCCCUAAAGGCUUUGUCUUGUCAGUGGAGAGCUGAUGCAUGCCCUGAUUCACUCCAAAAUUCAGAUCCUUGGAUCCCUACUCUGCCUAAAGGCAAGCUGCGACCAGAUGGAGUAGGCAUCGUCCCUUCCUUCACCCUUGCUUUUGUUAAAUGCCAUGUGAGCAAGAAGGGAAGUAGAUGUACCCUGGUAUGUGCCUCCACUGGGACAAUCAGAGGCUGGCAGCUCCGGCAUACCCUGAGGACACAGCUGUGUGGUAAGAGCAGCUUUCCAUGACUAUGGUUUGCAAGAGGGUGUGUUUACAAUAGACAAUCCUCGAACAAGAGCUGGGUUUCCUUUCUGUUUGCAGAGGGCCCAGUGCACGCAGACCAUUGUAAACAACAAUAUCAUUUAAUUCUUUCGCAUGCCUGACUCCUCCCAUCACCCGCGGUGCAGUUUAUCAUGUUCUUCCACUGCACAAUUACAAUCACAUGUGAUAGCAUCUCAGCCAUGGAUUCUGCCUGGCACACCCCUUUCAUUUCCACUGUCCCCUCCGGGUCCCUAGCACCACUUUCCUUACUGCACCUGACCCCACCAACAUCAAGGCUGGCAAGAAAAUGGAAAAUAUGUUUUCAAUUAACCUUUGCUUCCACCCACAAAUUCUCACCCUUCCACUUACUUUUAAUUACUGUGGUUCCAAAAUGUCCCCCAAAUGAACUUUCCAUCUCUUGUAAAACUUGUUUUCAUGUGAACUGUAUAGUUGACUAUAAGCGCCUAUAAGACUUGUGCAUAACCUAUUUAAUGGGUUCACAAUAGGAUGGCAAGCAUGCAAACAAAGUUGUUAUUCUUGGCAUGCCACAAUUUGGAACAGAAACUUUCAGAGUUUUCAAAGCGAUAAGUAUUUUAAGACCAGGAAACCACAAGGAACAGUAUAUCUGCGAAAGCUAUAGCUACUGAAACCACUGUAGUAACUUACAUCAUGAUGCACCUAUUACAAUUAUCAUUGUUGGCUAUAGUCUUGGCUAUAAAUUGUAUUGGUUCAUAAUCUGUUUUACUGAAUUGAGUGUCUUUUAUAUUAAAACAUGUAAGCCAAAUGGGUACAUGGAUGAGAAAUCCCCAACUCUGUCACCUGAGCAGGCUUUGAUUUGCAAUGGCAUUCAAAAUGUGCCUGAUCUGAACACAUUUCUAUAUAAAAAUAUAAGAAAAGAGCAUAUGAUGGGUAGGAGAAUUAGUCCAACAUUUUAAAAAGUGUUUAGGGAAGAGUAAGAAUAGGCAUGGAGCUUCUCGUAGGAGGCUGGGAUCUUCCCUUUCCACUAAGUAGGCACAAUUUCCUUCUGCCAUCUUCACUUCAAUACUCAUGCAUUUGCCUUGCCCACUCAGCAGUCCUCAGUUUGAUACUUUCUCAUGUUCUGCCUCUUCUCCUCCUAAGAUCUGGCUCUUGAACUGAUUUAGUUAUUAAGCAUUGGAGAAGAUUUAGGUCCAAAGCUAUCACAUCAGGAUAAAAGCUGAUUAAAAUACAGGAAGAGAUAGAUGAGCAACACUUGGAGCUCCGGGUGAAAGAGCUAUAAUACAAUUUCUGACCUUCCUCUUAACGUCGUGUUUUUCAAACCUUCUAUCAUAGAAGCAGUGAGUAUAGAAAGCAAGUGCCAGAAAACUGGAAUUGUGUGAAUGUGGGAAAAAACCUAGGUCCUGGGACUAGACACAAGAGAAAAAAGAGUAUGGAAAAUGGAGGAGACAAGAGCAAAAGAUGAAUUUGUUUGCGCAUGUGUAGAGCCUUGUGGGCAAAGAAAACAAGCUGAGUGCCAUGGCAGAGAGGGAAAGUGUUCUUUGCAGUAGUAUUUUGGAGGAAUCUAAGAGGCCAGCAAGAGGAGUUAGCAGAAAAAAGGAGCAGCACUCCUGCUGCUGCAAGAAAAGCAAAGGACUACUCACAUUCACAUGCUCUACUGUGUAAAUGGAGAGUAGUACUGGCUCUCUGUUUUACAAAACCCUGUAUUCAGAAAUAAGUUUGUCAGCCCAAGUGAAGAGGAAAAGAUCAAUGGAUUGCAAUAAACAGCAUUUAACAUAAAAAUGAGUAAAAUUUCCAAUUCAGUUAACUUGUGAAAUGUUAAAAAAAAUCAGCAAACAAUGGACACAAUUUGUUUUGUUCAGAGCCCAGAGGUAGAGCCCAAAUCCUCUAAAUUAAUUUCUGCAAAAGCUGGGGUUUUUUUCCAAACAGGUCUGGAUCCUAUUCGUUGUAGAAUAUACUGAUUACCAACUAUUUUUAAGAGCUUUACACAAACAUUAUUUCUUUUGUUGUGUGAAAUGCAGAAUCAGCCAUCUGGCAAAUGCCCCAGAGCUAAAAUCUUUUACAUGACAUAUAAUUCAAAAUGAUUAAAUAUACAACAGAAAAUAGCUAUAGCAUUGCACUUAAAAUAGCAUGAACUUUUACUGCCGAUCAAAACUGAUUUCUUUAGCUUAACAAGUAUCCAAAGAACAAUUAUUUGAAGAGCUUUUAAGAGUUUCAAUAUGUAGGAACUAAGCCUCAUCUAAAUUCAGUAUCUUAAGUCAAAUAAAAAAGAAACAAAUGUACAAAAGAUUAAAUGGUCCUGCGUUAUAAGUAGACAUUUAAAUCUAUGGGAAGCUAAAUUCAUUCGAACAAAAAUACUAUAUUCCCUCUGUAUGUGUAUUGCUGGGGCUUUCCUCUCCAUUGCUAAGGGUAUCUGCCAAAACAACUCUCACAUUCUUCGGCAAUGACUAGGGGCUAGCCUGGAAUCAGACUGUUCAUCCACUCCCUCCAUCAUCAGAAUGGGCAAUUUCAAAGAAGAACAGGGAAUAAAGCUCCGUGCAUGAUCCCUGAGUGCAGUCAAUCUUUUUUCCUGCACCACAGUCGACUUUAAGUUAAACUUGCUGUCUUUUUUCCAGAAAUACUCCAGGCCUGAAAAAUUGCCAGCUCCUCAUCCCACACCCAAUUCUGCAGUAGUUUAUGAGAGAGAGCACGCAAACAUCUGCAUGUGUUUGGGGUACAUAAGGGUAGGUACAGAAAUAUUACCCUGUGUAAUUAUUGAGCGGUUAUGGCUCUGUUUCUCAACUAUGUUUUCAGACAAGUCAAAGUCUACAUCUCCCAAAAGCACUUGGUGCAAGUCAGAUCUGAGUUGUGAGACAAAAAAAAGGGCUAAAUGUAGGUUUUUCUCAUGGAUUUGCAUACUUGGAUAAAACUGAAAUGGAUGAAUACAUUGCUGCCAACUUUCAAGAACAUUUUGCUUCUAAAUCCUUUCAGACCAAGCAUGAGAACCUUCAUCCCAAGGUAACAACGUGAGGCAAUUGUAAGUCUGUGAUUGCUCAGGCUUAGAACUGAAAUGGCUUUGCACCCUUGCCUGUGGAGUUGGGUCAGCAUCAACCAAGGAACCUCAGACGUUCUGAUCCCGGACUUUUCUAAACUAUAAUAAAAUAAUGUUCUUGAAUCUUGACCUUUGCAGCUCAUAAUGAUUCCCAAAGCAGCAGGAUUUUUCCUGCUGCUUUUUACAAGACUUUCAGACUUGAAGAAAUCCUAAGAUGAUUGCUGGCUCAUUUGGGAUUGCAGCAACACCAAACCCUCUCCUCUUAGUAAGAUACUUGUCCUGGUUCUCUGGGCCUAAUCCUGCUCUUAGUAACAUGCAUGUUAAUUCAGUUACCUGACUGAGCUUUUAGGGUAAAGGCAGGCUUUGUGUCUUCCUGAUCUUGACGUUAUAUGAAGAGAUGCAUGCAUUUCAGGAGGAAAUACUGACUGCAGUAUAGAAAGAUUCCCUAUGCACCGUACACACAUUAAUUAAACCUGAAGAUGGAAUAUGAAAAUAGUAGCCCAAAUAUUCUCCUAUUACAAAGAGCAAAAGCAUAUUUUAUAUUAUUUAACUCAUCCUUUUGACAACCACAGGAGAAACAAGGCAAUCUUCAUCAGAAGCAUCUUUGCUUUUCGUCAAAGGAGAGGUGACCCAGGCAAUCUCCUAUAACCUUUUCCAUCUCAGUAUAACAAAAUUUCUUUCUGAUGGUAUUUUCUCUUUGAAAGCUAUGGCUUCUCUGAUGUUUAGAAGUUCCAAAACCUGAAUGUCACAGAUUUUUGUGUACCUCCCUGCUUUGCAUUAAACAUAACCUCAUAUAUUUUCUACUUCCAGUGGAAAACUGGGACAUCUUCCCAUCUUUCUAUUGACCAAACUCUGUUACAAAGGUGCCAGGAGUCCUAUUUCUGGAAAAGAAAUAAAAAAGUAAUAUUCCUAGUGAAACAGGAGUCUAGGCCCAGUAUCUAUUCAAAAUAAACAAGGUAUCUCCUUACAAAUGAGCAUUCACAUUCUUAUUUAUGUGUCCAAUUUUGCGUACUCCGCAAUACUGGAAGGAAAGAAAAGAUGGAAGAACACAUGGAGAAUGGGGAGAAAUUUGAGCAUCCCUGAGGAAACAGAGGUUUAGGGACGGAGCAAUAACUGCAAGAUUGUGAUGAGAUUUUGGAAAACCUUGCUAGAUAAAAACGUAGAACAAAACCAUUGCUGUCAUUUCGUUCCCUGGGCCUGAUUAUGUUUUCGUGGUGGGCCUUUGCACUGCUUUAACUGCAAGAGCUCUUUCAGUAAAUGAGUAUCAGACCUCCAUGCUAGUGAAACACAAGGCUUGCCAAGUUUAUCAAGAGUCUCUGUGGCACUCUCCAUCCACUCAUCUUGACAAAGAAGAGGUGGAAGCAAACUCAGUAGUUUCAAAUGGCAUCUGUUUUCUUCUUUUCUGGAAUGGUACCUGGAUGCUGCCAGUUAGAGGCAAGUCAGUGCCAAGGCUCUAUGUGGAGCUCUUCCUCGCCCUCCUUCACAAACAGCCAAGAAACAAUCAGAAACUGCUUCAUAAUAGGGCCAGGGUGAAAGGUGAGAACUGGAGUAGUCUGAAAGCCUGCUGCCAGACCUGAGGAAGAUAGUGUCAUUUUGGUAAACCUGUCAAGCUGUUGUAAGAACUUCCUGAAUGCUUCCUACCAUCUGCUUUUGAUGCUUUCAAGACUUGGCUGGAAGCCUGGAGGUUUUCCUGCUCCUUCCUGCCCAACCUAUAAUGGAUGGCCUUGUGCCCUGAAUCAUCUCUCCUGGGGCGGCCAGAGUUCCUCUGAUGUUGAACAAGUGCCGGGUGUUUCAAUUGUGUUCAUGCUCUUGAGAGGAAGGGUCUGGCCUCCACGACACAUUCCUUCUUCACACUCACAUCAACACAAAGUUUAACUUUGUGUACAGGGCUCUCAAUGGAACGGCCACACAAAGCACAUCUCCAACGACUCCGUCAGACUGCACGCUGCGCCGCUGGGCUCAGUGAAUAUUGAUGGAUAUAAAUUGUAGGGUCUGAGAUAAAUGUCGUGAAGGACAAUGAGUUCAAAGAACAGAUUAAAAAACAAUAAAUUGAAUUCCAAGGCGUUCCCUCCUGUA